rnacentral:lncRNA from 1 species
ACGGCACACACUAGGGUCUCCGUCUCUCACACACACACACCACAAUGACGUCGUAAACAAUAGCACUAACCACCAUCGUCCGCAGCUCCCGCGUACAGAGGCCUCAGGCUCCCGGCUCCACGUGGACCGACCUCGCCCGGCAGCGCGGGGCCACCUCACCGCGAGCUCCUCCCGCAGCCCGGCCCGGGUCACCUCGACUCGCCAGGCUUAACUCAAUAACCACAACACCGGAAAAGGAAGCAAAGGUCGAAGUUCAUCCGCGGCCCUGAGGCCUGUGGGAAACGUAGUCCAACAACGAAAGAGCCCUGAAGCUCAAGCGGAGCCCGCUGGCCGCAGGGGCCGCACCACGCCCCAGACCCUGGAGUUUCCGGGUGCGCAGACCCUUGCCAUCAGCAGAGGCUGCCGCUGCGCGUCCCCUAGGCGCGGAAGAGGCGGCUGGUGGUCCCUGACGGCAAGGUGAAGUCGAGGCAGUAAUCGGGAACCCAGGUUUUAUACAUUACGAAUAAAGCUGGCACGUUUCCAUUUCUCCUGGGCAAAUAUUUAGAAGAAAAGUUGCUGGGUAAUUGGUGGAGACAAGGUUUCGCCACAUUGACUGGGCUGGUCUGGAACUCCUGAGCUCAAGCAACCGGCCCUCCUUGACCUCCCAAAGUGCUAGGAUUACAGGUGUGAACCACCGUGCCCGGCCCUACUUUCUAUCGAAGUAGAAUAGGUAGAUCACAUUAUUAUUAACAGUAUAUGGGAAGAGGGAGGUCCUCCCAUGUUACAUUGUUCUCCCUUCACCUUCUGGGUCAUGUUGCACCACUGUUUCCCUUCUAGUCAUAUCCCAGGGGGCCUUGUCCCAUUUAUACAGCUCUAUUCUAGUGGUCACCAGAGGAAUGGGAGUAAUCUGAUUGAAAGAUAAGACAGAAGAUUGUACUCUCUUUUUUUUUUUUUUGAGACAGAGUCACCCAGGCUGGAAUGCAGUGGCAUUGUCAUGGCUCACCGCAGUCUCAAACUCCUGGGCCCAAGUGAUCCUCCCACUCAGCCUCCUGAGUAGCUGGGACUAGAGGCACAUGCAACCACAUGCAGCUAUUUUUUUUUAAAUUUUCUGUAGAGACAGGGUCUCACUGUGUUGCUCAGUUUGUCUCAAACUCCUGGGCUCAAGUGAUCCUCCUGCCUUGGCCUCACAAAGUACUAGGAUUACAGGCAUGAGUCACCACACUCAGCUGAACUCUACUCUUUAUGUUCAGGAAAGCACUGGAGAAGAGAGAGGACAAGAGAAACAGGUCCGUAGUGACAGGAGCCUAGGAAUAGAGCAGGCCUUCAGUCUUGGUGAAAAAAUAAAUGGUAUUCUAAGCCUUCCUUUGGACAUUAAUUCAGUACUACCCACUCUUUUUCUCUUGUCCAUUCCUCCCUUAUAUUUUUUUUAUAAAAUGAAGAACUCAAUCCCUUAUUUUUUUUUUCUAUCCUUCAAGUGAAGGGCAAGAACAAAGAGUGUGGGGGAGAUUUUUUUUUUUUUUUUUUUUUUGAGACGGAGUCUUAACUCUGUCACCCAGGCUGGAGUGCAGUGGUGCUAUCUCGGCUCACUGCAACCUCCGCCUCCCAGGUUCAAGCGAUCCUCCUGCCUCAGCCUCCCAAGUAGCUGGGACUACAGGCCUGCGCCACCGCACGCAGCUAAUUUUUUGUAUUUUUAGUAGAGACGAGGUUUCAACAUGUUGGACAG